UGGACUAAAUCAUCUGAUCUUAUUAAGGCUCCGUUGUAUGUUGCUGGAUAUUAUUAGAUUAACACCAAAUAUUCAGCCUACUUUUACAAGCAAAGACAAAAAGCUUGAAACAUCAAGUGCAGCUCAGCGCGUCAAACAAAAAUGGACCCCUACAGUCAACAGAAAAGGUAAGAAGCACACUCAGCUGUGUAAACAGUCUUAUCAGAAAGUAAAGAACGACCGCCGGUGUGAUAUUGGCAUAAAACAGUUUACAGCAAUUAAAUCACGAGCAUGUGUGCUUUCAAACAAUGUUUGUCAAAUAUAAUCCAUAAAUGUGCCAUGCUGUUUAAAAAUGUUGGGAUUGUCCCUUGAAAUUCUUUUUUUAGAGAGAUUUUUGUGUCAAAGCCAAGCUUACAAUUCAGCAUUUUAUAGCAUAAAGUAUAUGUUACACCUGCAGUAAAACAUCACACUGAAGAACAGGCAUCAAUCUAAGCGCUUUAACUGUUAUAAGCAAGUUGGUUUGCUCCACCCUGCCACAGGACUAAAGCUAACACUGAUGGCUGUGACAUUGUGCAGUGUGACGGGCUGGAAAAAAAGUUAAAGCAACACGGACAAAUUUCUGUAUGCGGUAAAAAAUAAAUCACUAAAGAAAAUAUUCACAUUCAUGUGCAAAUACAGUUCAAAAAUUUAAUUUUACAAAAAAGAAAGAAAGAAAGCACUCCGUGGCUCUCACAUCUGAUCAAACAGACGUUUCACACAAGGAACAAAAUCCAAGAAAAAGUGCUAAUUACUACUAUAUGUGGUGCAAAUGUAGCCAUGCAGUAUGUCAUCACCAAGGGAAAAACAAAACAAAACAAAAUAAAAAACAGACCAGCAGUAAUUCUUCAUUAGACUCUUCCAAACCUCCAUCUGUCCACAUACUCCACAUACAUCCUCCUAGUCACUCAGGACACCAAACCUGUCUCACAGGUACAUCAUAGACCAUUGAAGGUUCUUAUCUACAUCCUAUAUUAUUACUUCCUCGAGUAUCCUAGCAACCAAAUGGAUUAAAAAUGACCCACCUUACUAAAACAUCACAUUAACACAUUAAUUGUUUUGAAGCAAAAUCCAAACUCACCACCUUUGAACUUGUCUCCUUCAAACUCAUUUCUGCCCAGUGACAAAGAAACAGUACAGUGUUUUUGCACUUCACAGGAUGGACCAUGAACGCUAUGAAAAAAAACACAAAUCCUAUUCUUAUUUAAACAAAACCUUUGUUUGUAAAAACCGACAGCC
ensembl:lncRNA